GAAAAGGUUAGACAGAAAGAGUACAUGCGUGAGAGAGGGAGAGUGUCAUAGCACUUUUUAUUGUUGUUUUGAUGGUAGUAGAAAGAUGAUGGUUUGUAUGAUUGGGGUUGUUGAUAGCUACAAGAUGGAAACGUGUUGGUGUGAUUUAACCUAAUUUCUUACUUAUUCUACAUUUCUCAUUUUUUAUAUCUUUUAUUUGUGUUUUCUUUCUCUGGUGUCAUCUUUCAAAAAAAAAAACUCCUCUAUUUAAUUUUUAGUUUUUAAUUUGUAGGCUAUAAAGAUAUAUCUUUGUGUUCAUGAGAUAAAUUAAGUUCUGAUUUUUUUAUUGUUUUCCAAAAUUAAUGGAAUAAGUGAAGGAUUGGACUUCCACAUUUUGAUGGAGUACAAUUUUGGUGAAGAUGCACGAUGAGGGAAACAAUGCAGCUGAAAAUGUGGAAGACGGAGGCGUAUAGCCCUUUUAUUUCUACCAAAAACAUUACUUUUAUUUGUUUGUUAGUUAAUGUUAUUUUUUUUUUAUCUUUUACUAAUUUACUAUAUUUAUGAUGUAAAUUAGACACUUUAUUAAAGUAUCAAUGAAAAUGUGAGCUUAAUUAUUGGAC
rnacentral:lncRNA from 1 species